UACGUAGGGCGCAAGCGUUGUCCGGAAUUAUUGGGCGUAAAGAGCUCGUAGGCGGUCCGUCACGUCUGCCGUGAAAACCCGAGGCUUAACCUCGGGCCUGCGGUGGAUACGGGCGGACUAGAGGUAGGUAGGGGAGAAUGGAAUUCCCGGUGUAGCGGUGAAAUGCGCAGAUAUCGGGAGGAACACCGGUGGCGAAGGCGGUUCUCUGGGAAUGACCUGACGCUGAGGAGCGAAAGUGUGGGGAGCGAACAGG
rnacentral:rRNA from 1 species